rnacentral:rRNA from 1 species
CAGCAGCCGCGGGAAUACGGAGGGUGCAAGCGUUAUCCGGAUUUAUUGGGUUUAAAGGGUCCGUAGGCGGAUCUGUAAGUCAGUGGUGAAAUCUCACAGCUUAACUGUGAAACUGCCAUUGAUACUGCAGGUCUUGAGUAAAUUUGAAGUGGCUGGAAUAAGUAGUGUAGCGGUGAAAUGCAUAGAUAUUACUUAGAACACCAAUUGCGAAGGCAGGUCACUAAGAUUUAACUGACGCUGAUGGACGAAAGCGUGGGGAGCGAACAGGAUUAGAUACCCCAGUAGUCCCUGUCUCUUAUAA